UCCUCAAUUGGUUCCAAUUUAUGUUCUUAUGUUCUAAUUGUUCACAAUCAAGAAACCCUCUUUUGUUCCCUCCAAUCAUCAUCAUCGACCCAAUUUAGGAGCCUUAAAAUAAAAAUUCAUCUUCUUCAAACAUCAAUUUCAUUUCUUUUCUUAUACAACAAAACAACAACCUUAAUGAAAUCAAAAGCAUCUGCAACAAAAUUUAUCAUCUCUGCAUACGUGACUCUUCUAAGAUUAAAAGACAUAGUUAAAGACUUUUUUUUAUUUUUAAGGAACAUAGUUAAAGACAUUAAAAUUAGUGAUUUCAGAACGUGUAUAUUAUAUAUUCUCAUAAAUGCAAGAUUGCUAUUGUAAUUAUUUUGACAUUGAUACUAAACAAGAAGCAUAUCUCAAAGGGUUAUCAUUUGCUAUGACUUUGGAGAGGCAUGGUGCAGAAACGAGGUUGUGGUUGGGGAUGAGGGAAGGGUUGUCAGGGAGAUGGUUGUGAUUGCAGACGCUUUUUGAUUUGAAGAAAGGUUCGAUAAAGUUAUGAAAGAGG
rnacentral:lncRNA from 1 species